AACGUAGGAGGCUAGCGUUAUCCGGAUUUACUGGGCGUAAAGCGCGCGUAGGUGGCUCCGUAAGUCGGGCGUGAAAUCUCCCGGCUCAACUGGGAGGGGUCGUCCGAUACUGCGGAGCUUGAGGGCAGGAGAGGGAGGUGGAAUUCCCGGUGUAGUGGUAAAAUGCGUAGAUAUCGGGAGGAACACCAGUGGCGAAGGCGGCCUCCUGGCCUGCCCCUGACGCUGAGGCGCGAAAGCGUGGGGAGCGAACGGG
rnacentral:rRNA from 1 species